rnacentral:tRNA from 1 species
GGUGAUGUCGUACAACGGAUAGUAUGAGAGUUUCCGAAGCUCUUGAUCCAGGUUCGAUUCCUAGCAUCACCACCA